CCACCUAUAAAAAGGCCUCCAUACCUCCAUCUGGAAAAUCAUCUGAAGAUCCAAUAAAUCCACUCCUCCAAUAUCUCUUCCAUUUGUCCAUCUCUACUUUAGCAAUCCAGUGAGAAGGAAGAUGAAGGGAGCAAAGGCGAGCGGAAUCAACAUCAUGCGUGGCUAAAGGCUGAGAUUUUGGAGAAAAUAGAAGACAUCUUGGAGUAAUGGUUUUGCAUUUCACUUUGCUUAUUCCUA
rnacentral:lncRNA from 1 species